rnacentral:rRNA from 1 species
GAUGAACGCUGGCGGCGUGCCUAAUACAUGCAAGUCGAGCGAACGGACGAGAAGCUUGCUUCUCUGAUGUUAGCGGCGGACGGGUGAGUAACACGUGGAUAACCUACCUAUAAGACUGGGAUAACUUCGGGAAACCGGAGCUAAUACCGGAUAAUAUUUUGAACAGCAUGGUUCAAAAGUGAAAGACGGUCUUGCUGUCACUUAUAGAUGGAUCCGCGCUGCAUUAGCUAGUUGGUAAGGUAACGGCUUACCAAGGCAACGAUGCAUAGCCGACCUGAGAGGGUGAUCGGCCACACUGGAACUGAGACACGGUCCAGACUCCUACGGGAGGCAGCAGUAGGGAAUCUGCCGCAAUGGGGGAAAGCCUGACGGAGCAACGCCGCGUGAGUGAUGAAGGUCUUCGGAUCGUAAAACUCUGUUAUUAGGGAAGAACAUAUGUGUAAGUAACUGUGCACAUCUUGACGGUACCUAAUCAGAAAGCCACGGCUAACUACGUG